UACGUAGGGCGCAAGCGUUGUCCGGAAUCAUUGGGCGUAAAGAGCGUGUAGGCGGUCCGGUAAGUCCGUUGUGAAAGCCCUGGGCUCAACCUGGGAACUGCGAUGGAUACUGAGGAGCUGGAGUACGGUAGAGGAAGGUGGAAUUCUCGGUGUAGCGGUGAAAUGCGUAGAUAUCGAGAGGAACACCUGCGGCGAAGGCGGGUUGCUGGGCUGAUACUGACGCUGAGGCGCGAAAGCCAGGGGAGCGAACGGG
rnacentral:rRNA from 1 species